rnacentral:rRNA from 1 species
GGACUACCGGGGUUUCUAAUCCCGUUUGCUCCCCUGGCUUUCGCGCCUCAGCGUCAGAAGAGAUCCAGUCCGUCGCUUUCGCCACCGGCGUUCCUUCGGAUAUCAACGCAUUUCACCGCUCCACCCGAAGUUCCACGGACCCCUACCUCCCUCGAGACCUCUAGUUUCCAAGGCUCUUCUCCAGUUGAGCUGGAGGAUUUCACCCCGGACUUUGAGACCCGCCUACGCGCCCUUUAAGCCCAGUGAUUCCGAACAACGUUCGCACGGUUCGUCUUACCGCGGCUGCUGGCAC